ACGCACGUCUGUGGAGAAGCGUCCAAGUCGCCGGUCGCCUAGCGUUUCUCACUGAUUUUGUCGCUUUUAGGAUUCUCGAGCCCCUUCAGGACGGUCACCAUGGAGUUGUCACCGCUGCAGCCUGUAAAUGAAAAUAUGCUACUCAACAAAAAGAAGAAUGAAGAUGGCAAGAAAAGACUGUCCGUUGAAAGAAUCUAUCAGAAAAAAACCCAACUGGAACAUAUACUGCUCCGCCCAGAUACCUACAUCGGCUCUGUGGAGUUAGUGACCCAGCAAAUGUGGGUUUACGAUGAAGAUGUUGGUAUUAACUACAGGGAAGUCACUUUUGUUCCUGGUUUGUAUAAAAUCUUUGAUGAAAUUCUAGUUAAUGCUGCUGAUAACAAACAAAGGGACCC
rnacentral:lncRNA from 1 species